GCCGGGAUACUCAAGUGGUCUACGAGGUCAGACUGUAAAUCUGAUGCCUUCGGGCUUCCCAGGUUCGAAUCCUGGUCCCGGCA
rnacentral:tRNA from 1 species